rnacentral:rRNA from 1 species
UACGGAGGGUGCAAGCGUUCUCCGGAUUUACUGGGUUUAAAGGGUGCGUAGGUGGGUUGGUGAGUCAGUGGUGAAAUACUUUCGCUUAACGAAGGAACUGCCAUUGAUACUACCAGCCUUGAAUACAGUGGAGGUGGGCGGAAUGCGUCAUGUAGCGGUGAAAUGCUUAGAUAUGACGCAGAACACCAAUUGCGAAGGCAGCUUGCUACGCUGUUAUUGACACUGAGGCACGAAAGCGUGGGGAUCAAACAGG